AAGCCAGACUCCUACGGGAGGCAGCAGUGGGGGAUAUUGCACAAUGGGGGGAACCCUGAUGCAGCGACGCCGCGUGGGUGAAGAAGCGCCUCGGCGCGUAAAGCCCUGUCAGCAGGGAAGAAAAUGACGGUACCUGAAGAAGAAGCCCCGGCUAACUACGUGCCAGCAGCCGCGGUAAUACGUAGGGGGCAAGCGUUAUCCGGAUUUACUGGGUGUAAAGGGAGCGUAGACGGCAGUGCAAGUCCGGAGUGAAAGCCCGGGGCUCAACCCUGGGACUGCUCUGGAAACUGUAAAGCUGGAGUGCGGGAGGGGCAGGCGGAAUUCCUGGUGUAGCGGUGAAAUGCGUAGAUAUCAGGAGGAACACCGGCGGCGAAGGCGGCCUGCUGGACCGUAACUGACGUUGAGGCUCGAAAGCGUGGGGAGCAAACAGGAUUAGAUACCCCUGUA
rnacentral:rRNA from 1 species